ensembl:lncRNA
AUGCUGCGUGGGAGCGGGGCUGGGGACCCCCUCCCUUUCCCGGCAGCGCUGCCUUGGUCGGGCGCCCGUGGCCCCGCGCCCCGCUCCGGGCGGGCGCCCAGAACGCGGCUCGGCCCGAGCAGAUGUGGCCGGAGCGCUCCCGCGGCCCCGCUCGCCGCCGGGGGAAACUUUCCGUCUUCCCAGCACAUUCCCAUCUGCGCCGGGCCCGGCGCGGGGGCGAAGAGCGGCCCUGGGGGGGGGGGCUCACGCCCUGCUCUGCCCCGCGGCCCCCCCCCCGGGUCCCACCGGUGCCCGUCACUGCGGUCGUCGCUGAGACCUGGCGGGCUCGGCGCUGCCGUGACCCCGGUGGGUUUAGGGCCGGGGCUGCCCUGGCAAAAAGCCCCCGAGCUCCCCCCCCCCCACCCCAUCCCGCCCCGGGCUUCCCGGCCCCCGCGGUUUGGCAGGGGAUCAGAACAAAACGCAGCUCGCUUCGCUUUUAACCCCUUCCUCCGGCCGUGCGCCUCCUUCCCAGCCCCGUUUGGGGGAGUCCCGGGGUGCUGCGAGCGCCCACACCCACCCGCACGGCCCCGCCGCCUCCCGUGCCUCAGUUUCCCUGUCCAGGCCAGCUCGGCUCGGGGGGGGGAGCAGGACACGAGCGGCUGUGGGGUGGCCGGGCCGGCCCGGUGCCCGCGUGGCCGUGCGGGAGCUCCCAGCACAGGCGCGAGCGACGACCGGCGGCAGAACCCCGCGGUCCCCAAAACACGGCUGCAGUCGAUCCCCUCCGUGCUGGCUCCCAGCGGGGGGAUUUUCUGCCCGGCCGGGCCGGUGCCGGAGCCGGGAGCGGUGCCCAGCGGGGCUGAGUCACGGCGCUGGCCCCCGGGUGCAAGGAGCAGGGCUGGGGAGUUCCCAGGCGGGCGCUGCCGAGGGGCUGCGGGGGGCAGGAUGGGACCCACGGCACUGCGCCCUCCCCGGUGCCGUUCCUCCGUCGCCGCGUGCUCGGGGGCGAGCCGAGUUCUGCGCGGCCUCAGGACCCCCCCCAAGUCCUCGCCUGCUGGGGGGGCCGCCUGCAUCCCACAGCCCCCGCGGUGGGGAGAGCCGGGGCCGUGGGAAGGGGGCGCGGAGCCGAGCUGGGGCCAGAGCGUGCGAGCGGCCGGGGCGAGCGUGCGUGCGGGCGUGCGAGCAGGGUGGGAACGGCGCGGGGGCCAGCGUGCGCCUGGGGACCCGGCCGUGCCAGGGGGCGUGAGUCAGCGGCUGGGACGGGACGUGGGAGGGGGGGGAGAGGAGAGUGUGCGAGCGAGCGGCGCGGGGCCCGGCCGCUGCCACGGGGCCGUGCGCGCGUGGGUUUUCGUACGGCCCCGUUGCGCAGCUUCCAGAAAAGGCUCCUUCUGGAAACCUCGGCUUCCUGCCGAGCUCACGCCGCCCGGCCCCGUUCCGGGCUCCGCGGGGCGCCCCGUGCCCUGCCGGGGUCCCCCCUUGCUCCGUCCUCCCUGCCGGUGCCCGGGGGGCGAUGCCGCGUCCCGUCCCGCGCGUGGUGCCGGUUCCCAGGGCCGCGGGCAGGGUGCGGCCGUGCCCCCAACCCACGCGGUCCCGGCCCGGGUUCGGCCCCCGGCCGGCCAGCGCAGGAAGGAGCGAGCUGCCUGA